rnacentral:lncRNA from 1 species
CCGCUGGCGCUUUCCGUAGCAGCAGUUAAGUCACCAGAGCGAAACAUGGCUGCCAACAGUGCUGGAGGGCAGGGGUCCUGCCAGCAGGGCCGUCCUGGGACACAGACACAGUGACCGGCUCCUGUUGGUCAGCGCCGUGGCUGUCAGGCACAGCAGCUCACAGUCCAACUUUUCCUAGUGGGACCACCUGGAGGUUUUCCCGCGGGUCUCGGCCUCCGCCUGUCUCUGCCACACCAGCCGUGUCAACAUGAGUAAAGCGUGCCGGAUCACGGUGUUUAACUUUGGGGAGAAGCAGACCAUCGACCUGUGCGACACCGAGGAGGAGUUGCAGAACAUGACAGUUAGUCAGCUGAAGAGAAAGAUCACCCGGAGCCUUGGGAAGGAUGAGGAUGAUUUAUGGCUGGUCUACAGAGUCUGGAGGAUGACUCAAAACGGCUGCCCUGCACUUCAGUCAUCUGUGUCAGUCAACUAUUUGGAUGGAAGUGGAAGUGCAACUCCUUUGGAGAAUUGGAAGUUUAUCAUAAAGAUAAUAAACCAUUGACUGUCUGUCCUCUGGUCAUCAUACUUUAACUGGUGUGCCUAUGCAGAAGCAAUUUCCUACAAUAAUAUAGAAAAUACACUGUAAAUCUUCCAAAGCCUCUUAGGUUUAGAUUUUUCAUGUUCUCUCUGUAUCUGAAUCAUUUUAUUCCACGCAUUAUACCAGUGGUUGGGGAAAACUGUGAAGCCAAUUAAAA